ACACUAUGUAAGAAGAAUUAUGGUUUGAACUACGUAACAAUUACCUAGACAUCUUUUGGACUUCAGUUAACCUGUGUCAAGCACUGCAGUAGAUUCUGAAGAUACAAAAAUAAAUAAAACAUUCCUGCCCUCAAGACACUUACACUCUUAUGUGUAACACUGUGUGACCAUUCAUCUGGGCCUUCCUGAGACAGUCUUGGUUUACACCUGUUUUCCCAAUAGCAUCACUGCCUUUCCCACUAUUCUCCUGCAGAAGAGCAGGGGAAGGAAGCACCAGGGUCCAUCAUGGAGGCCUGGUUGAAGAUGGCUGAGCGUAAAACAGAAUGCAAGUCAGCUGGAGCACGUACUACUGGAGGCAGAGCCCCAUGAGAAGGGGCCAAGAACCCGCACCCAUCAAAAUCAAGAAGAAAGGCUGAACCCGGAGAGAAAAGGGAGCAACUGAUGUUGCCAUGCAGAUCCCUUGGUUGCUAUGAGAUGGUAACAUCACUCUGCCCCACCAUUGGCCAGUGCCUCCUCAGCUGCGGUGCCUCCCAGGCUGUGUGGUUCUCACGCGGGCCACUGACACAGAGCUGUUACUAUGGUGAACUUUACAAUUUCCUUUGAUUGGUGGAUUUCAGAAAUAGGCCAUCAGCGGAAUUCAUUAUAUUCAGCUAAGUAAAAAUGAAAAAUAAAUACUAUAACUUUCCCCUCAUCACUAACAUGAAGGAAACGUGACCCUUCAUGACAUAAUAAAUCGCUGUUCGGUAACUUAGGAUCCUUCAGGGGACUGAAGCGGGAUGAUCCUCCUAUGCCAAAUUUGGGUGGGAAAGAUAUUCCCUGUAGCUUUGAGUCGACUCUUCAGAGUUAAGGGCAGUGGGCCAACCAGAGUUGGAACUUCAGAGUUGGGAGGAGGUGUGGGAUGGGGCAUGCAUUGAAAUGUAAACUCUAUUGUCUCUGAAGUGAUGGGUGAUGCUGGGGGCCUGAGUGUGGAGGGCAGUUUUACAUCUCAGGACAAUGUUUUCUCAGAUGCUCUUCCAGAAAGAAAAGCCAGGAGUACUCCUGGCUGGAGGCGGCAUGCCUGAGGUCAGAGUCAAAGUAGGGUUUGUGCUGUCUGAAUCCUUUCUCCCACUCUCCCCAGCCUGGCUCAGCUUCUCAGCUUCUCAGGUGGAUUGGUGAGUCCUGGCCAAUUACGCUUCAGCUCAUCUCUACUCUCAGCAAAUAGGAAAAGGGAGUGAAGGACUGAGUUUUAACUCUUCUAAUUUCGUAACCUGACUCUCUAUAAGAAAAAGUAGGAGAAAGACUGAAGAACCCGAGAGAACAGGCCUCUGAGCCCAAGCCAAGCCAUCGCAUCCCCUGUGACUUGCCCGUAUAUAUGCCCAGAUGGCCUGAAGUAACUGAAGAAUCACAAAAGAAGUGAAUAUGCCUUGCCCCACCUUGACUGAUGACAUUCCACCACAAAAGAAGUGUAAAUGGCCGGUCCUUGCCUUAACUGAUGACAUUACCUUGUGAAAGUCCUUUUCCUGGCUCAUCCUGGCUCAAAAAGCACCCCCACUGAGCAUCUUGCGACUCCCACUCCUGCCCACUGAGCACCUUGUGACCCCCACUCCUGCCUGCCAGAGAACAAACCCCCUUUGACUGUAAUUUUCCUUUACCUACCCAAAUCCUAUAAAACGGCUCCACCCUUAUCUCCUUUUGCUGACUCUCUUUUCUGACUCAGCCCGCCUGCACCCAGGAGAUUAAAAGCUUUAUUGCUCACACAAA
ensembl:lncRNA novel transcript, antisense to PELI1